rnacentral:rRNA from 1 species
UACGAAGGGGGCUAGCGUUGCUCGGAAUUACUGGGCGUAAAGGGCUCGUAGGCGGCCAACUAAGUCAUACGUGAAAUCCCUCGGCUUAACCGGGGAACUGCGUCUGAUACUGGAUGGCUUGAGUUCGGGAGAGGGAUGCGGAAUUCCAGGUGUAGCGGUGAAAUGCGUGGAUAUCUGGAGGAACACCGGUGGCGAAGGCGGCAUCCUGGACCGAUACUGACGCUGAGGAGCGAAAGCCAGGGGAGCAAACGGG